CCUCAUUUUCUUCAAUGACAGUUCCCAUUUUCCUCCUUCUCCUUUUCAUCACCAGACGUAAGUUCUAAAACCAAAACCUCAUUGAUGCUGAUCCAUCUCCACUUAGUCAUCCUCGCAUCUCCAUAACACAAUCACUAUUUGGUAAUAUCAUCCUCCUCUUUAUUCUCCUUUUUUAUUUCUCACUCUUUCUUUUUUGUUUUGUGGUAUUGGUUUUUGGUUAUGAGUCUAGUGUUGAGUAUAGUGUUGGUUCUGUGUGUUUUGUGGUAUUGGUUUUUUGGUUAUGAGUGUUUUAUCUCUCACCUUUUGUUUCUUUUUUGGUUACAAAGUUACUAGUAUAUGUAAGAAAGUUACUCAUAUAUGCCAAUAUAUGUAAAUUCAGGGUUGUAUAAUAAUUCAGGUUUGUUUCUAUUUAAUAGUAAAAGCUAAAAGAUGGGAUGAAAAAUGUUCAAGAGAAAAAUAAGUCUGCAAUGGAUCAUCCCUCUAUUAUAAGUCAAAUACU